GCAGUGGUCGUUCAAUGGUAGAACUCUCAUCUUCUACCCAGGAGACCCGGGUCCAAUUCCCAGUCAGUGCA
rnacentral:tRNA from 1 species